rnacentral:misc_RNA from 1 species
UUCUGCAGCGGUUGGCAGAUGACGGCCAACACUGCGGCCAGAAACAGCGGCAGCAGAAACGGUGAGAUCACUUGAUAGAACAUGCCGCCCAGCAGCGCAAUCAGUGCCAGCAGGACAGCAAGUGAAACAACGCGGUUCAUAAGGCAUUCCGGGCAAUGGAUGGGCCAUCCAACCUGUGUCGAUCCAAUAGGAUAACGAGAUCUUGAGGUGACGGCGCGAAUUCUGGACUGAAAGGCGCCAUCCGUCGUCACCACCUGUAGCUUGCGUGCGUCCAGAACUCCCUUGCCGGGUUUGGGUUUGCAAUCUAGAAUGCGGGACUGCAUGAGGGAGCGUGCAAUUGAAAUGGCUGCCACGAGUUGCGGCGAUUCCUCCCAGUCGCGAUGAAGAACGCAGC